rnacentral:rRNA from 1 species
AUACGGAGGGGGCUAGCGUUGUUCGGAAUUACUGGGCGUAAAGCGCGCGUAGGCGGAUUGAUCAGUCAGGGGUGAAAUCCCGAGGCUUAACCUCGGAACUGCCUUUGAUACUGUCAAUCUUGAGUUCGAGAGAGGUGAGUGGAAUUCCUAGUGUAGAGGUGAAAUUCGUAGAUAUUAGGAAGAACACCAGUGGCGAAGGCGGCUCACUGGCUCGAUACUGACGCUGAGGUGCGAAAGCGUGGGGAGCAAGCAGAAUUAGAAACCCCAGUAGUCC